AGGAUGCGUAUGAUAUUGUCAAGUAAGAUUCUGUAUCUUAUUUAAUAUAUAAGUAGUGCCGGAGCUUUUAAUUGUUUUUAAGAACCUUUUUUUUUAAUCAGAAAAUGUUUUUAAGAACCUUCUUCCAAGUAUUCUCCAAUGCUUUUUGAAACAAUGAAUGUGUGUCUAUAAUGAUCCUCAAAUGGAUUGGAUCUUAUCAAUAAGAUUUGGUGGAAGCUGCUAUGAACAUAACGAAUUAUUGAUUUUCCAACAGUAGUUGAACCCAAAUAGUCAGGACUUAUAUUGUUUUCAUUGUGAUAAUUUUCAUUACUCUUGCUGCUAAUUUUAUUUUAGGUUUUCUUAACAGAACAGGCAAAGUGAAAAAGAAUGCUUUCAGUCGACAAUGUAGAUAAUAAAUCACAAGUUUAUGUGCACUUUAAAUAUGACUUUACUUUCAACCAAUACAUUUGUAAUCAUCUAAUAUUUUAAUAAAAUUUAUGCAGUCUUUUGAAUUUAAAGAAGAUCUGGUUUCCUCACUUAUAUGGGAUCAAAUUGAGCAGAGUGAUAUAGAGUCAGAGACGAAACAGAACUUGUCACUUCUGUUCUCUGAAUGUUUGACCUGAUUCAUGUUUUUUGGUUUGUCUUGGUUUUUUGCACUCAAGAUUUCUUUGUUUUCUAAUAUUCUAACAGUUUGUUUUCUGGUGCAUAUUUCCCUGGUAUGUUUGGAUCUGAA
rnacentral:lncRNA from 1 species